GCCAAGGGCGACCGCGGCCGGAACCGGACCGGCGGCUCCGGGCACCGCACUUUGUUGGACCUGCGGCAGGUACUCUGCUCUGUUCAGAGUGAGGCUCGUUCUUAGUUCGGGACAGUCGCAAAAUCGGGCACCCAAGGGCAGACCCGCGAGGCUCAGUGAGGCGGGCCUGCGGUGUGAUGGGCGCGCGGGGGACCGGCAACAGGUGCAUGUGGGACGUGCACAGCCCACCUGCCGAAGGACCUUCUUUCUUCCCGCGUGGGUUGCGCGCCCCCCAUAUGAUCUUCUUUCAGGCCCCGGAAACAGGAGAAAAAGCAGAUGAAAAUACCUGCUCCAAGAAUGGGCAAAGGGUCCAGACACUUCUCCAGAGGAAACAAACGAAUGGCCGCAAACUUUACAGCCUCCACGGGAUCCAGAGCAAUGCCAUCCAAUAGAAACGUAAGCCACGUCUGAAAGGCUGAAUUCAUGUGGGCAGGACCUGUUCCUCCGGGGGCCCUGGGAGAACCACGUCCCCCUCUUCCAGCUAAUAGAGGCGCCGUAGCCUCAGCUCGAGGCCCCUCCUCCGUCUGCACCACCAGCAGGGCCGCACCUUCCCGUCUCUCUGACCCUGACCUCCUGCCCCCUUACAUAAGGACCUUCCUGAGGACAUCGAACAGUGAGCCCAUGGGUAUUCAGGGUCACCCUCUUCUCAGGGGUCUUAUCUUAGUCUCCUCUGCAAAGUCCCUUUUCUACCAUGUAAAAUAACAUUCACAGGUUCCGGGGACUAGGGCAUGGGUAUGUUCAGGGGGCUCAUUAAUCAGCCUGCCACAGCUGUGAUGUUGAAAGUUUGCAUUAGGAUUAUGAUGGUGGACACACAGGCUCGCACAGUGCUGAAAUGGUAGGGAACGUAACGCACAUUGAUGAGUGUGCAAGCGGAACUGGAGAAAUCAGUGAGGUCGGCGCACCGGAUCAAUGCCGACGUUCUGGUGAUGACACCACACUUGCGGUUUUUGUGUUUUGCACCCAGUUACCAGUGGGGAAAACUGGGGCUUCUGUGUUAUUUCCUACAGCUGCAUGUGGCUCUAUGAUGAUCUCAACAUAAAUGUCCAUUUUACAAAGAAAAAUACUGCAUGAACAUAUUACAGAUCUUACGGGCCGAAUUUCCUGCACCCCCUUCAAUAGGUGUUCAUCCCAUACACUGCUGAGCAUACUGACUCCUCUCUUGUGGAAAGCAUCAUUUAAUUCCUUUUUAAUUCACUUUUUUUUUUUUUUUAGCAGAUAUUCAGGUUUUUGACAAACUAGAAGCCCAGAACGGUAGUGGAGCCGGUAGCAUUCAAUAAAUCAUUCCUGAGCUUUUCAGUGGGUGCCGAGCAAGACCAGGGGCUGCAGAAGCCCAGAGGGAACCCCUUGCUCAGCAUGCACUGGUGCGGAGGCCGGGCUGGGUACCCCCACUAAAAGUGCUGUAGGUUUUAGCACUUUUAGGACUUGUUCAAGUCCCACCCCCAAGUACCUGUGAAGGUGGCCGGAUUUGGAAAUACCGCCUUCAAGAAUAGGUCAAGAUGAAGUCACACUGGAGUGGCCUGGCCCCAAAUCCAGGGACUGGUGUCCUUCUAAAAGUGGGAAAUUUGCACACAGGGAGAUGGGCACGUGAAGAGGAGGAAGAGAUUACAGUGACCUGUCUACAAGCCAACGAUGGCCAAGGGUUACCAGCAGCACCAGAGGCUGGGAGGGGCAGGAAGCCUCCCUCCCUGGAGUCUUCGGAGGGCAGGGUCCUGCCACACCAUCAAUUUGGACUUACACUUCUCGCUCAAGUGUAGAUGAACCAUAAACAGGAUGUCUUUCUCUCCUGCUAUCAGCUUCCCGCAGGUCUGUAGGUCCAAGAUUCCACGUUCUCUAGCGUACAUAAACCUUGCUUUGGGGUAUGGCUUCUGAUAUCAAUUUCCUGCACCCCUGGGCCUAUCUCUUUCCCCCAGAGCAUCCUGGGGGCCAUCAUACCUGGCACUCUGCCCUGUAGUCUUCCAGUAAACACAGCGCCUGGCCCACGGGGAAGUCUGUGUGAAUGUCAGCCUGAGCCACAAAACUGGUCAAGAUGGUGUUCGUGCAAUCCAGCCGAGGUUGGCUGCAAAGCCAGUUAUCUGGGGUCAGCUUUCAAACACACAGGAAGGCAAGUAAUACUAAUAAUACUAAUCGGGAUGUCAGCGCCAUAGGGCCAGACUGUUUCAUCCUGUCCUCCAUGUCUGGGACAGCACCUGCCAUACAGCAGGUGCUCAUAUUUGUGAAAUGAAUGCCUGAAUGUUUAAACCAGGAUGGGUCUAUCAAAGUGACUUCUUUGCCAGGCAGGGCAUUUUGAGGUUUUUCAUUAAUCCCUGCAUUUCUUAAAUGUGGCCUUGCAUGUAAAAGCACUCGCUGUCUUAGAAACGGAGUAUCUGCCCACGUGGGCACUGGAUGGCUGGAGUGGUCACCCUGUAGACAGGGACCUCCAGUGGUCCUCAUGUCCAUUCCACUCCCUCACACUUCCUGCCUGGCUGGGGAGGCAAGAGACAUGGGAGAAAAGAAUCUCAGUAGCCAGAAUUCUGUUCCUGGGGCAAAGCCUUGUGACUGCGGCGUGCUCGCCCUGAAGGGGCCGCCACCAUCCCAGUGAGGGAUGGUGUAAAGUAUUGAGGGAACUAUAAGAUCUUGGGUAAAUGCAUGGGUGUUUCUCAAAAAUUUUACCCACGUGUAAUAUACAUGUAGAAACCAUUUAUGCAAGUGAGAGCGUGCUAUGUAUCCCCCAUCUUACCUUCUUCACUCUUUGGAAGUAAAUCUUGGACCACUUUCAUGUAACUCAGGCAGACCUUGCCAGUGUUCUGAGGAUCAGAUUGCUAGCACAGGGAAGCACCGUUAUUUAACCCAGCUCCCCCGAAGAGACAGUUCAUCUUUUCACUCCUGAGAUAUUUAUUCAGCACCAACUGUGUGCCAGGCAUGGAACCGCUUAGAGGUGUGCUGGAGCCCAUGUGCGCUGGUGUUUCGGGGGAACAGACCCGGUGGGCCUCAGGACUGGGGAGGAAUCUGACUCCGGUGCUCACAGGCGCCCUCUGAUGGUCACUCAGGGGGAGGCCAGGCCAUGGUGGGCAAGGGUGGGACCUGCCGCCGGUGCUCACAGGCGCCCUCUGGUGGCCGCUGCGGGGAGGACAGAUGGGGCAGGGGCAGAAGCUGACCAGGGAUUGAACCAGGCUGGUCCAAAUGGGAGAUCACGGGGUGGACGAGGUUCGGGGCAAAGAAGCGAAGAGAAGUGGGCAGAUCUGGGGUAGAUGUUAAACUGAUCAAGCCCCAAUGUCUUUAGCUAAACACCUGGAAUGGUGGAGUUUCCAUGUCCUGUGGGAGGGGCAACUUCGGAGGUUAACAGGAGGGAUUCCGAGGCACGGCUGAGUCCAGGAAGCUUCAUCAGUAUCUAGGUGGAGCCCUCCAGGGGGAUCUGGAUCCAGAGUCAAGCUCAGGGCCAGCCCCAGCUGGAGACAGGGUUGUGGGCAUUGCCGGAGCACAGAAAGGGUGGGAGCCCCAAAGGUGGACAAGGUCGCCCAGGAGGGAUGCCCGAGCAGGAGCCAACCAUGGGCUUGGAGGGACGGAGACCUCAGUCCCACCCCUAGCCCCCAGGACGGGAAGAGGGGCUGGGCCUUGAGCCAGUCACCGAUUGCCGAUGGUCUACCCAGUCACGCCUGAGCGAUGGAGCCCCCGUAACAACCCCUGAACAAAGGGGCUGAGAGAUGCCGGUGGGUGACCUCAUCUAUGUGUGGCGAGGGGCACCCCAAACUCCACGAGGAUGAGAGCUCCUGCACCCAGGCCCCUUCUGGACCUUGCCCUACAGAUCUCUUCACCUGGCUCUCUGCAUCUGUUAUGACAUCCUUCAUGAUAAAUAGGUGAUUGUGCUGCUUUCCUAAGUUCUGUGAGGUAUUCUAGCAAAUCAUCAAAUGUGUGUGCGGGGGGAGCCUGAUUUAUAGCUGGUCAGUCAGCAGAACGGGAGGCUGGACUUGGCAUGGGCAUCUGAGGUGGGGCUCCUAAGGGGCUGAGCCCCCGACCCUGUGGGGUCUACACUGACUCCAGGUAGCUAGUGUCAGAACUGAACUGGACCGUAGCUCAUGUCCAGAGAAAUGGAAGAUUGCCUGGUGUGGAAAACUCACUCGGCCAGGGGCAGAAGAGGUCAUUGCAGUCAAAACAGGUCAUUGUCCGGGGGCCUGAGGACCCCUGCCCCCCAUCACCCAGGCCCCGUGCGGUCCCUCCGGCUGCAGCAGGGCCCGUGUCGCCAACACAAAGCAGCAGAAACCAUGAGGCGUCACGGGUGCUGUCAGAUCCCAUGGUUCCUCCCACUUCAUGGUGCAGUAAACGGGCUGCUCGAGCCUGCAUGCAAAGUCAGCAGGCUGCUGGCACAGGAACCCACUGCCUAGGCUCUUAGCCAUGCCACUAAACCCCUUCUGCAGGGCCCCCUUUAGGGGCUGGGUAAGGAUGAGGCUGGGCAGAUUUUACCCCCAG